UGGGGAACCCCCUUGAAAGAGGGGGGUGCGGAGCAAUCCGAGCCCCAAGACAGGUGCUGCAUGGCUGUCGUCAGCUCGUGUCGUGAGAUGUUGGGUUAAGUCCCGCAACGAGCGCAACCCUUGUCUCUAGUUGCCAGCAUUCAGUUGGGCACUUUAGAGAGACUGCCGGUGAUAAACCGGAGGAAGGUGGGGACGACGUCAAGUCCUCAUGGCCUUUAUGCCCAGGGCUACACACGUGCUACAAUGGGCGGUACAAAGGGCUGCGAACCCGCGAGGGGGAGCCAAUCCCAAAAAACCGUCCUCAGUUCGGAUUGGAGUCUGCAACUCGCCUGCGUGAAGCCGGAAUCGCUAGUAAUUGCGGAUCAGCCACGCCGCGGUGAAUACGUUCUCGGGCCUUGUACACACCGCCCGUCACAUCACGAAAGCUGGUCGUACCCAAAGUCGCUGUGCCAACCCGCAAGGGAGGUAGGCGCCCAAGGCAUGGUCGGUGAUUGGGGUGAAGUCGUAACAAGGUAACC
rnacentral:rRNA from 1 species